CAAUUUGUCCCGUCUUUUGGUUCAUUUGCUUUAGAGAGAAAAAGUCUCUUUGCAUUUUCUACCUUCCUUAUCUUCGUUCCAUGUCACUAAGAAACAUGUUCAAUUUAAAGCAAAAAAAAUUGGGAAACAAGAAAUUCUUAACUUCAAUUUCGAUCAAAUCCAUAUGUUUACAAAUUUGUGGGAAUUGGAUGCUGUCAAUUUAACAGUUCAGAGAUGCAAUAUCAAAUUGAAUCUACUUCCAUUGUCUCUGCAGACAGCAUGAAAAACAAAUAGUUUCUGCUCUAGAAAUUCUAGAGACUUGAAAUUUUUUUGAUGAAGUGCUGCAUGUGAUAGAAAUUUAGCACCUUUUUAUGUAUUUAAUUAGCGAUCACAUUGCUUGCACUGGCAGACCUGCCAUUUUAUCUCUGGGCUCUGCUAGAAGGGAUUUCUUUUUUUAAAAAAAAAUAUAUAUAUAUUAAUUUAAAAAAAAAAAAAAAAAAAAAAAACUCAGAUCUUUUUCAUCCACACACACACACUCUCUCUGGAUACAAUUUAACACGUAAACUUUAAAUCAAAAUAUAAUUGAAAGAAUUACAAUUUACAUGAAUAAUUAACUGAUUAAAUGCAAAUAAAAACACACAAAAAUGAUAAAACUCCAUUUCUUUCUUCAUUUUGUAAUCUACUUGUAUUGGAGAAUUUUCAUUUUGAUUUAGUGAGGAUUUCGAUUUGUUUUGCAGGUAAUUUCAUACCUCAAUAGGAUUUGUUCCUUCCAUCAUAUAUAAGCAACGAAGCCAUGGGAUUUCUGGUUAGCUUUGUCAUCAUAAAUCAUGUUUGCAUCUGCAGCCUCUCACCAAUCUUAAAAGGGUUCUUUUGACAAAAUCCACAAAUGAGCCCAAUGGAAGCAGCCCAGUCUGGGAAAAACCUAAAGCUUCCCUAAAAUUAAGGGCCAUAUUGAGAUUUGUGACAUUUGUUGGCCACGUGACCUCUCAUGGCAGACAUGUGACAUUUUCCAUCGGUUUCGUAUUAAAUCUGGUUAGCUGAAAAUUGAAUACGCAAAAAAGGGCAGCGAAAGGGGCCAAUGGGUGGCACUUAAUAAUGGCCACUUGUAGCCGUCUACACCUAACUUGCGCAGCACAAUUCUGGACACUAGCGUUGUGACCGUGAGUCGUCUUGCUAUUUUUAGAUUUAUACUUUCAAUAUUAUUUAUUACUAAAAUUAGGCCUACCAAUUUUUAGGAUUCUAUUUAAACAAUCCUAAAAAUAAAAUUAGGCCUAAUCAUUCUGGAGAACUGCAUUUUGCCUAUUUUAGUUGCGAUGGUUUAAAUGUAUAGCAAUAUUUUUUAACAAUUAUAAAUAUAGCAAAAUUUAUAAGUAAAUAUUCUAAGGCUAA